AUUGAACGCUGGCGGCAGGCCUAACACAUGCAAGUCGAGCGAGCGGCGGACGGGUGAGUAAUGUCUGGGAAACUGCCUGAUGGAGGGGGAUAACUACUGGAAACGGUAGCUAAUACCGCAUACCAUCAAUUGUGCCCAUAUGGGGUUAGCUAGUGGGUGGGGUAAUGGCUCACCUAGGCGACGAACCCUAGCUGGUCUGAGAGGAUGACCAGGAACACUGGAAAUGAGACACGGUCCAGACUCCUACGGGAGGCAGCAGUGGGGAAUAAUGCACAAUGGGCGUCAGCCUGAUGCAGCCAUGCCGCGUGUGUGAAGAAGGCUUUCGGGUUGUAAAGCACUUUCAGCGGGGAGGCGUUACCCGCAGAAGAAGCACCGGCUAACUCCUUGCCAGCAGCCGCGGUAAUAC
rnacentral:rRNA from 1 species